rnacentral:rRNA from 1 species
UGCAGUCGAGGGGUAGAGUUCUUCGGAACUUGAGACCGGCGCACGGGUGCGUAACGCGUAUGCAAUCUACCUUUUACAGAGGGAUAGCCCAGAGAAAUUUGGAUUAAUACCUCAUAGUAUUAUUGAAUGGCAUCAUUUAAUAAUUAAAGUCACAACGGUAAAAGAUGAGCAUGCGUCCCAUUAGCUUGUUGGUAAGGUAACGGCUUACCAAGGCAACGAUGGGUAGGGGUCCUGAGAGGGAGAUCCCCCACACUGGUACUGAGACACGGACCAGACUCCUACGGGAGGCAGCAGUGAGGAAUAUUGGUCAAUGGGCGCAAGCCUGAACCAGCCAUGCCGCGUGCAGGAUGAAGCAUCUAUGGUGUGUAAACUGCUUUUGUACGAGAAGAAACACUCCUACGUGUAGGAGCUUGACGGUAUCGUAAGAAUAAGGACCGGCUAACUCCGUGCCAGCAGCCGCGGUAAUACGGAGGGUCCAAGCGUUAUUCGGAAUCAUUGGGUUUAAAGGGUCCGUAGGCGGUUUUGUAAGUCAGUGGUGAAAGCCCAUCGCUCAACGGUGGAACGGCCAUUGAUACUGCAAGACUUGAAUUAUUGGGAAGCAACUAGAAUAUGUAGUGUAGCGGUGAAAUGCUUAGAGAUUACAUGGAAUACCAAUUGCGAAGGCAGGUUGCUACCAAUAUAUUGACGCUGAUGGACGAAAGCGUGGGGAGCGAAC